rnacentral:misc_RNA from 1 species
UUGUUCAAUUUGAUUGAUACUCCGACGCACAGAAGCAGCGUUGGGGGGGGCCAGCGGGGGCGCCGCCGCGCGAGACGGCAGGGUCGCCCCCGAGGCAACGGUUUUGGUUCACAUGGGGUUGGAGGUCGGGCGUGAGCCCUCACUCGGUAAUGAUCCCUCCGCAGGUUCACCUAGAAGAAGUUGGUUAGCAUGUUGAUUCGAGGGGAUGGCGGGGGUUGUCUGGUUCAUUACUCACCUACGGAGA